CUUCCGGCUGCGGUCGUCCAGGUAACCGAGACCGCCGAAAGCGCGGAACUGAAGGUCAAGGGAGACUACUGUAUAUUGUUCCGCCUUUGAAGAAGUUAUUUAACAUCAGCGAGUCUCUUGUUAACUAGCUUGUGCCCUUUUCCUUGUGGAUUUGAAGAAACGGUAUGUUCUUGACAUAAGCCCUCGGCCAAUUACAUGUAUUGCAAGUAUCUUUUCUGACUCUUUAAAAGCUUCCCUUUUGACUAACAUAAUGGAGUCUUUUUAUGAACAGAAGUUCUUAAUUUUUUUAAAAAAAGAUUGUAUGUUUUUAUUCCUUUUUGAGUAAACUCUACACCCAAGGUGGGGCUCGAACUAACGACUUGGCAAUCAAGAGUCACGUGUUCUACCCGCUGAGCCAGACAGGUGCCCCUAGAAGUUCUUAAUUUUAAUAAAUUCCAAUGGGAAUCCAGAAAUGGAAAAAAAAAAAAAAAGGAAAACAAAAAGGGACGGUCAACCUGCACCUGGCUGGGACACUAUGAAAACCCUGAAGAGCACUAAGAAGACAGUGUCGCUGCACUCCGAGGGAAAAUGGCAAACGCCUGCCAACACUGUUUCUACUGAAGCUUCGGACCCCGAUCUCAAAUAACCAACUACUGGGCGUGCGGUCACUGUGUUGCAGUCCACGGCCAUGCUCUGACCCUGUGGAGAUUGACAGAUAUGGAGAACACGCAGAUUCUGGAAGUGACCUUCUCUGAAAAUCCCGGUCGGAUUCAAGCAGUGUCUCUUGCACCUUCCCUGCUCUCCAGGGUUCCCAUCGAUCCCUACACUGUCCCAAGAAAAUGCCGAGAAUUGGAGAGAUGGGUCUCACUUCCAAAGGUUUAAAAUAAUUGCUACUUGCUAUGCUUACCUCAAAACUCAAACUGGCACCUUCUACUAAGGUAUCAAGUUACUUUUUUUUUUUUUUACCGUACUGUUAAGAAUUUCUACAUGAAUAUAUACUGCACC